CCCGCUAAGUCGAACACCCAAAGAGGCGACUAAGGCAAAAAUUAGGCUAAUAUCGAUGGAAGAAAAGCUUCAAAAAGUGGUCCAUGAAAAAAAUAGGGGUAAAAAAGAAAAAAAAAUCAAAAGAGGUCGUGUUAAUCCUCAACAAAGAAGAACAAGAUUUGAUGACCACCAUAUCAUGAAUCAAAGGGUCAUCGGCAUCCACAAUAAAAUCAAAAUAAG
rnacentral:lncRNA from 1 species